rnacentral:rRNA from 1 species
AAGCAGGGGAUCGCAAGACCUUGCGCUUUUAGAGCGGCCGAUGUUUGAUUAGCUAGUUGGUGAGGUAAAGGCUUACCAAGGCUUCGAUCAGUAGCUGGUUUGAGAGGACGACCAGCCACACUGGGACUGAGACACGGCCCAGACUCCUACGGGAGGCAGCAGUGGGGAAUUUUGGACAAUGGGGGAAACCCUGAUCCAGCCAUGCCGCGUGAGUGAAGAAGGCCUUCGGGUUGUAAAGCUUUUUCAGCCGGAACGAAACGGUCACGGCUAAUACCUGUGAUCACU